UCCCUGUUACCAGGGCAGUCUGUUUAGAAAAAUCCAACUAAACAUAAGGGUUGCGCUCGUUACGGGACUUAACCCGACAUCUCACGACACGAGCUGACGACGGCCAUGCAUCACCUGUCACCGAUCCAACUAAAUGAAGUUCUCCUUUCGGAGAACGGCGAUCGGGAUGUCAAACCUUGGUAAGGUUUUCGUUUACCAUCGAAUUAAACCACACGCUCCACCGCUUGUGCGGGUCCCCGUCAAUUCCUUUGAGUUUUAAACUUGCGUUCGUACUACUCAGGCGGGAUGCUUAACGCGUUAGCUUCGCUUCGGAGGGGGUCGAUUCCCCCCAAUAGCUAGCAUCCAUAGUUUACGGCGUGGACUAC
rnacentral:misc_RNA from 1 species